CAAGAGGGGACAGAAAGUAGACCCUUUCAGAGAAGGGAUCUGGCCAGCUGUGUGGAAAGAACCCUGGAGCUUGAGGGGACCCGAGUUCAUCAUACAUGCGCUGCUGUGGGAGGACACAUGACUCCUGGACAGUGCUUGGUGCACAGACAGACAUGAUCACCCUCAGCAUCCUCAAGGACCCUCUUCUCCUCGCUUAGGAUAUCUCCAACCGGCAACCAGCAACCAGC